GCCAUGCCGCGUGUGUGAAGAAGGCCUUCGGGUUGUAAAGCACUUUCAGUGAGGAAGAAAGCCUUGAGGUUAAUACCCUCGAGGGAGGACAUCACUCACAGAAGAAGCACCGGCUAACUCCGUGCCAGCAGCCGCGGUAAUACGGAGGGUGCGAGCGUUAAUCGGAAUUACUGGGCGUAAAGCGCGCGUAGGCGGCUUGAUAAGCCGGUUGUGAAAGCCCCGGGCUCAACCUGGGAACGGCAUCCGGAACUGUCAGGCUAGAGUGCAGGAGAGGAAGGUAGAAUUCCCGGUGUAGCGGUGAAAUGCGUAGAGAUCGGGAGGAAUACCAGUGGCGAAGGCGGCCUUCUGGACUGACACUGACGCUGAGGUGCGAAAGCGUGGGUAGCAAACAGGAUUAGAUACCCUGGUAGUCCACGCCGUAAACGAUGUCGACUAGCCGUUGGGCUCCUUGAGAGCUUUGUGGCGCAGUUAACGCGAUAAGUCGACCGCCUGGGGAGUACGGCCGCAAGGUUAAAACUCAAAUGAAUUGACGGGGGCCCGCACAAGCGGUGGAGCAUGUGGUUUAAUUCGAUGCAACGCGAAGAACCUUACCUACCCUUGACAUCGAGAGAACUUUCCAGAGAUGGAUUGGUGCCUUCGGGAACUCUCAGACAGGUGCUGCAUGGCUGUCGUCAGCUCGUGUUGUGAAAUGUUGGGUUAAGUCCCGUAACGAGCGCAACCCUUGUCCCUAUUGCCAGCGAUUC
rnacentral:rRNA from 1 species